rnacentral:lncRNA from 11 species
GUAACGAAUAUCAAAAGAACAAAGUUAUAUUUAAUAAUUAGUUUUUUGGCAAUGAAAAAAAUUAUCUGAUUGUUGCCACUAUCACUAAUGUGGUUUCUCAAGAUCUUUGCACUUCUUUUUUCAAGGCACUACUUCUUACCGAGACAAUUGCUUGGAAGACAGCCGGUAGCAAGUGUCGCUUCUCUGGCCGCACAAAGGCUCGAAUAACUCCGAACAAAGAGUGAUAAAAAACAAUUCGAUUCAAUAUGAUUUUAUUAGAAUUGAUAUAUUAGGAAUAUAAUAGGAUUAUAAACAGAGGGCGGCACAUAUUCGUGUCACGGUCGUUAAGUGAACCCGUUUAUGUCAAACGAUGUAAGUACUCGUACAUAUAUCGGUCGUAAACGCGUCCGCUUAUUAAACUUCUGUAUUACGGUAUACAUACAAGCCGUAAUGAAUUUCAACGAUUGACAAAGAGACUGGAGAAUCUUCGAUAUCCGACUUAUGUGAAAAUUGAAGACUUGUAUUCUAACGAUUUUUAUGGUUUAUAUUGAAACAUAACCUUUAAAAAUGAUCGAAAUUAAAAAUAUCGAAAUUAAAUUAAGUUUCAAUUUUUUUCCGAUUCUUAAUAUUCAAAGGUUAAUAGAUCAUGGUAUUCUCUAUCUCAAAGGACUGCAACGAUGCUGUUGUAGUCUCGUAAAAACUACCCAAGGGAAAGAGAGCUAGCAAUCACCGAGAGCAUCGUUCGAAUCCCACUUGGGACUGGUAACAAUCAAGCAGCAAUUCCGUUGAAAAAGACAAUAGGCAUUUAGCCAAACAAAGAGAAAUCGUGUGACGAGAAUUCGUUAAAAAUUCGUGAAUAUUAGAAUAAUCUUUUCGUUAUGCGUCUCAAAGUGUCGCUGUGACAAAAUCGUAUUAAUAUAAAGAAUUGAAGAAGUGAAGUAUGAAGAAUUUAAAAGAAGAAGAGAAAAAAAUUUUUAAAAAUUAAACAUAUUUGUUAUUUUCACGGCAAAAAAAAGAGAAACAAGAUUAUUGAAAUCGAUUCAGAGAUCGCGUUGGUGGUUAUGUUUUAGCUAUUUGCGUUAAAGAGACCAGAACGUGAAAUGAGAAUCAAUAAUCGAAAGAAGGAUGAAUACGGAUGCGGUGGCAACGUGAUGUAGCCACGUGACUUAGGUUUACCCCGGUUUGCAUCGAAACGAAUAAUCUCUGUGCCUUACUGCAGGGUUUAGCGAAUGUUUGCAAUAAGGAUGAAGUUUCUAAACAUGGUCGUCCUAUUUUCUUGAAAUCAUUCGUACCUGAAUACUGACCGAACUUUAACUGGCUUCGAUUUGAAAGGACCCGCGUUCCCUUAGGUAUUUCCAGAUAGAACUUUUCGAAUAUUUACGAACAAACGAGUGUGUCUAUAUUGGAAAUAUCGCCAGGGAGCUAAAUCAGAAAUUGAGGACGUAGAGGAAGGAAAAGAAACUGAAAAAAAGAACGACAAGACGUUACCGGUGAAGAUCUAUGGUAUCGAGGCGAUAUUAAACCGAACAAGAUAACACUCUUGGAAAAAGUUCCUGGAUAUAUAAGCUAGCUUAUCAAUCAAGCUGGAUCCUGGUGGAAGAUAAGAAAAAGGAACGAUUUUCGAGAUGAAUUUCACAAGUGGUUACCUCUAGUGGUCGAAGGAGGAAAGUUUCUAAUUUUUAGGGAGAGACCAGAGAGUAACAAUAGCCAUACGGUCUGGUAUUCCCCAGACGCUCCUCGCAUCAUCGAUCCUAUAUAACCUAACACAGUUUCUUCUCUCAUCCUCUGCUAUGCCAAACUCGACCCGAUAUUGCAAUAAAUCGUGCAAAACGGUUUUCUAAUUCCUGAAAAAUUUUAAUAGAAGUAAUCUUUUUUAACGAUGAAAACUAUGAAUAGAAAUUUGAUCGAUAAAUAAACGGAAAUAAGGGCGAAGUAUAUUUGGAUACAUAAAGGUUAAAAGACUACGGAAUAUUAUAUCUAUUCAGAUUCAAAAAUCAUUGUGUUUUUUUAAAUCAUGGAAAAUUUGAAUAACUGGGAAAUUUUUCAAUUAAACAUCUAGUUGAGAAAUUCUUGAAAAUGAUUAAAAAUUAAAAAAGAGAGAAGAAAAAACUUUAUUUUGAAGAUAGACAUAAAUUAUUCAAACAAUUUACUUAAACGUGUUAGAAGUAACCAUGAAUAUUGAAAUAAAGAUGAAGAGUUCUUACUACAUAUUUCAUCACCUCAUCAUAUACUAUAAUGUAGCGUUUUCCCAGUCAGGUAUCCAAGUAUCUACUUAGAUUAAAUGAAGUGGUACAGUUAUGCUCAGACACGUGUGUGUAUACAUGUCGAUCAGACAUUAUCAAUUACAUUUUUCAGGCUUAAUUAGAGUCAAGACAACUACAUAAAAUGAUUGUAAUUUUUUUCUCGACGAUUAAUACAUUGGAAGAAACGAAAAAAAUACAACUUUGAAGAAAAUUGAAGAAUGGUACAAAUGAUUGGAAUGUUCAAGGUAACGAAAGGAAAGUGAAAUUUUCUUGAAGAGAAUAGAAAGUUUUAUCGAUAAGUUUUUCUUUUUUUUUUAUGACCUUAAAUGUCCUCGAAGAACACUCGUCGAAAAUAAAAUAAGAACAGAAUGCAUCUAAACGUACUGUGUAUAGUUCAGUAGUAUCAGUCGAUAUUUUACAACAGGACCUGGAAUAUCGAUUUGGUGGAACUUCUAGACACGUGGCACCGCCAUUACGAUCGAUAUUACAAUAGAUAUCUCGUCGAAAGUAUAUUUCGCAAACUAUUUACCUAUACUAUGGCCGAAUUUCAUCAUUCGAUUUGCAAAACAAUGGUCAAUACCCAAACAGGAGAAGGAAACUCGCGAGAGAGUCGAACAUGUAUAAUAUUGGAGGAAGAGAAAAUGGAAGGAAAUUCUAUAAAUAGGAAUAACAGUUCAUGCGGUAGUUCGUAAUAUCGAAGAUGGAUCAGAUAGCAUGCACUUUCGGCCAAUUUUCGAUUUAAUUUUCGAUAUAUUUUUUUUUUUUUUUUUACCGAAACGUCAGAACAUUGACAAGGAGAAACUGAAUAAUGAAAAAGAAAAAUGAGGAAGAAAAAAGUAUCGAGGAAAGUUGAUUUUUUCGUAAUAGAGGUAUCAAGCUUUUAAUCCUCUUAUUUAGACAUGGUAUGGAAAGAGAGAGGAUACUUGUAUCUGAAAGUGUGAAAGUAGAAGCGAGUACUCUUUGAAAUAUCGCGUGAAGGAACAUAAUGUGGAAAAAUUGCGGUAAGUAUGUGAGAAAAAAAAAAGAUUGGUAAAAGUAAAUUGAAUACUAUGAUACUACCUUCCAAUUUUAUCUGAGAGUAUGCCAUGUAGGUCAGGAUGGUUGUUUUCUUCGAGGAUUUUCCCAAUGCACGAUUUUUACCUUCUUGCACUUGUCGUAAUAUCAUCGAAUAAUAAGAAAGAUAGACUAUUGUAUAGAAAUCUGUUUUUCCCUUUCUUAGAGAUUGAUUUUUUUUUUUUAUUCUUUCUUUCGGUGUAAGCAUUAUUCUCUUUUAAGUUUGCUUGAAAUUUCUCCUACAAACGUUGCGAGAUUUUUCUAUCUUGCUUCGGAAAAAAUAACAAGAGGAAAGAGAAAUGGAAAUCGGGAUAGAAAAUAAGAUAAAAAGAUCGAAUGGAGAGGAUAAGAAAUUUAAAAGAUUUUAAAUUUCGAUUGAAAGGAUGUUUCGCUUAAGUUUCCGCGAAAUCUUGACACGGAAAGAAGCUGUACAGCACAAUUCUCGAGCACUCGUAACGUUAAAGUAGAGAGUAGAAUAAUAGGUACUUGAAACAGUUACGAAAUGGCAGCUCAGCUAGAUCUCGCACGCGAAUUUCUUCUCGAGUGAAAACUAUUUUGAUGUUAUUUUUAUAUGAACUCUAUGUGAUUAGAGGAAAGGAAUAAAGAAGAAAUAGUAUUUUGCAAUGAUAAUGAUAAAAUAUUUUUUUAAAAAUUGUACGAUGGAGAGCAAUGACUGAGAUACCGAUUAAAGUAAUGAUCGAUAUCGUAUUAAAUCCUAACCAAAUAUCUAACUUGGAAUGAUCACGAUCAUAACUUUAUAGCGAUAGCGAUUCUCUAAACGAAAAGUUUUAACAGGGAUAUCUUAGACACGCGAUGGCACGUUUAAAUUACGUAGAACCCAAAUACAGAGCAGUGAAUCUGCAAUCGUAACAGCUCUACGCCCGUGUCUAUAACGUCCCUCUAUUGGCGUUGAGUAGCUACCGAGCGAGGGCAAUCUCGCUAUUGAUUGCACCUUGCAUCCUCCCGCCCCUUUCUCCUGCCGCGAUCCCCUCUCCGCGACCAUCCUUCGUCCAUCCCAACCCUCAGGGCAACCCCUCCGAUUCCUCUUUUUCUCUACUACUUUCCUCUUCCCUCGACUCUUUUCGAUUCGAAUUUGCCCCAAGCCAAGGGCCGAGAGACGCUCAGGAACGCACAUUUUAUUCUUUUAUUUCUUCGACGCAACAUACGGUUUCGAUUAUUAACUUUAUACAACAGAAAGUGAAACCAUUUUUUUUUUAAAUUACAAUAUUACAAUAAAAUUUGUUUAUAGAAACAAAAUGUCCGAUUAUUUGAAUUGUCGCUGAAUGUCACUGAUAACGUAUAACAAUCGCGAAUAGCUUUAAGAGAUCGAAAUAUAAAAUCGGAUAUGAAAAGAAAGGAAUUUGUCCUGUGUACUUCAAUAAUACGAAAACUUGAUACGAAACUGAUGCAUUAAUUUUUCACUUAAUCUAAUAUAAUCUAACCUAACCUCAUCUCACCUUGUUCCGUCUUCCGAUUGGCCGAAAUUAUUACGGAUUUUUAUUUAGAGAUAUCGAAGAACAAUGUAUCGACUCGCGGUGACUCGCCCGAACUCGCACAGCGACGAUCCCACUUUGACGUCUUGACGUCAAUUUUGUUAAUUAAUUCGCCUUCAUUAAAACGAUCGAUCGAGAGACUCGGGUUGACACAUUAGUUACACUUCAUCACCGUGAAAACUCGAUUUAACCGCUUAAAGAUUUAUCGGGGACAACCAGUCUCGUCGACUUGUUAUUGCAACGAAAAAUUUUGCGCAUUUAUCGCACACAUUUUCUUCAAUAAAAAAACGAAUUACAAUUUUAAGAAAAAUGGUUUCCUGUAAGAUUGAAUGUUUACGAUUUGGAAACUAGAGACUAUUUUGAGUAACUCGAGAAAUGCAUAUUUUAGGUCGCGAAGCUUUUAUGACGCAUUUACAAUCGAUACAUUCAGUAUGAAAGUUGAAACGACAGAGCAACGAAGCCAUUGUUUUCUCAUAAUGUAUAGCGACUGCAAUCGACACUCGAUACAUCACUGUAUAAAAGAUUAAAGUUUCAGCGGGAAACGUCACGUAUUGGAUUAUUUUGACUUUACGAUGAUUUAUAACCUACGACGUCACGUCAUGUAAUCAUAACCUCCAAAGAAUCCAAAGAAAGUAUUUUUUGUCGGCAAUUGUUGACAAACAAAUUUCUUGAAAAGAAAAAAAUAAACAACUUUAUUUCAGGAAAUUUCGUUACUCAACGAUACGAGGGAACAACUUCGAAGAAUUCCGUUUAAUUAUUCAAUGAGCAUACUUGACGAGAAACAUCGAUGCGCACAAAUGAGGGGAAAUUCCGGACAAAGGAGGAUAUAUAGAACGCGUAUCGGAAACGAGAUACUCGAAGGAAACACCUAGCUCAUCGGGAUAAUAAGGAAUAUGCUGACGAGAACCGAGACACCAACACCGUGUCGUUGAAUAACAUGUAUGCAUAACUUGCACAGGACACGCGACCUAUACAUUUAUACACGCGCCUAUCCAUGUGGAUAUUCAGAGAUAUAUACAUACGAAACGAACGAGGAAUAGGAGUGGCCGUAUACUGCAUCGGACAGCUUGCAACUGCGUAUAUUAUUCAUCGGUAAUAAUCAUUCUCCAAAAAUGUAACCAACCAUAAACAGCUUUUUGUACUAUCGUACAAAACGAUCUCGAUCGAAAA